rnacentral:rRNA from 1 species
GACAGAGGGUGCAAACGUUGUUCGGAAUUACUGGGCGUAAAGGGCUCGUAGGCGGCCAACUAAGUCAGACGUGAAAUCCCUCAGCUUAACUGGGGAACUGCGUCUGAUACUGGAUGGCUUGGAUUUGGGAGAGGGAUGCGGAAUUCCAGGUGUAGCGGUGAAAUGCGUAGAUAUCUGGAGGAACACCGGUGGCGAAGGCGGCAUCCUGGACCAACAUUGACGCUGAGGAGCGAAAGCUAGGGGAGCAAACGGG